GGCAGCGGAAGGUCGGGGAGCGCCUCCAGGGCGUGGAGAUCUCGAACGGCUCCACCUGCAACGCUACAGGUUCCUGUAAUCUUCUGCCUGACUUGCGUUGUGUAAUCUCCUGCCUGCCAUCGCCGAAGGUAGCCGCCCCCACGCCAAGGAAGGCGGCCGCACAGAAACCACGGCGGCGGUUCCUCUUGAGCAAGGGCGGGCGGCGAGGAGAAAGUCUGCGGCAACGCCGGCGAGGCGGGGAGAAAAGCAGUGGGCUUUCCUGGGCCGCCGCGUGGCCAUGGUGUGGUUGCCGUGUUGGCUGCUGAAGGUGAAGAAGGUUCGGGCGGGUGUGUAAACAUCAACAAUAGGCGCAUGAUGCCCUGAUGCGUUCGUCCUCGGGCUCGGGCUCACUGCCUCCGUGUCGUGUGUCUUUCAGGUACAUCCAUCACUACAGAGGAGAGGAAUUGGCCCAAAAAUAGUGGACAAAAUUACAAGGGUACUUCAUGGCAGAGGUUUAUAUGACUUUUCCGCAUUAUGUACAGAAAAGGAGAGGUACG